AUUGAACGCUGGCGGCAUGCUUUACACAUGCAAGUCGAACGGUAACAGGCCGCAAGGUGCUGACGAGUGGCGAACGGGUGAGUGAUGCAUCGGAACGUGCCCAGUCGUGGGGGAUAACGCAGCGAAAGCUGCGCUAAUACCGCAUACGAUCUAUGGAUGAACGCGGGGGACCGGAAGGCCUCGCGCGAUUGGCUGGGCCGAUGGCAGAUUAGGUAGUUGGUGGGGUAACGGUGCACAAAGCCAACGAUAUGUAGCUGGUCUGAGAGGACGACCAGCCACACUGCGACUGAGACACGGCCCAGACUCCUACGGGAGGCAGCAGUGGGGAAUUUUGGACAAUGGGCGCAAGCCUGAUCCAGCAAUGCCGCGUGCAGGAAGAAGGCCUUCGGGUUGUAAACUGCUUUUGUACGGAACGAAACGGUUCUGGUUAAUACCUGGGGCUAAUGACGGUACCGUAAGAAUAAGCACCGGCUAACUACGUGCCAGCCGCCGCAGUAACAC
rnacentral:rRNA from 1 species